ACUUCCAUGGAUGUAGAUAACCAAACGACGCCGUUGAAACCGCACAACACACACCAACCAUCGAGAAAUAAGCAGGAAACAUCUUGCUUUGCAAAUUACCGAACGUAUGCCUCGGAAGAUUCCUGAGUCAUCAUUAUACUUCUCAAUCAUAACAAUUAAAAAAUUUAGAGGAACUAUCCAGUACCUCCCUUUGGUCGCCGAUAAAAUUUGGGAAAAAAUGACCUAGAUUUUCUCGGCAAACAAACCGAGCACAACAGGCAAAAUUGGGUCGAAAAGAAUUAUUACUUGAACAUUAUGAUGCCGCCGAUGAAGGUGACCCAGAGAGCGGCGCCCCAAGCGGUGGCGAAGCAGAGCAGGUGAGCGAGUUUGAGGGCAGCGGUUAGCUUUGACGAAUGGCUACCGUCUGAUUUGGAUCCGAAUGUCUCCGGCGAGAAAAUAACUCCGACGGCCAAGAAAGUGACGGCGCCGAGAAACCGAGUCAGCCAACCCAUUUCUGACGACGGAGUGACUCACUGAAUCUAGUUCCGAUAUGGCAACGUUGAAGGAGCAGGUACGAUUAAGAGAGCAACACCUGGCCGACUCGUUCUUCUUCCUUGACUAGUGGGUCACGUUGAUAUAUAAAUUAUUAAGUUCCCAAAAACACCCUUCUUGUUUUCGGGGUACACGUUAUGAUUGAAUAGAAUGUUGACGUGGUAUUAUUUAAAACUGCCACGUAUGUAAACGAAAAAGGAAAAAGAUGGUUGUGGAUAGAAUACUGCCUCGUUCGUUCAUUUUCCCAUUUUUAGCUUUAAGUUCAAGUUAAAGCUCAAAUCAAAGCCACGGAUUUUAAACGGUAAUUAGUUUAUAAGAGUUUUAUUAAAUAACUUUUUUAUAAGCUAACAUAUUAUUUUUCCAAAAACUAAUAUUUCCAUUUUUUUUUUUGGGGAAAAACAUUUUUUUUAAAUACAAUUAGCCAAAUAAGCAUAUAACCUUUUAUUAAAUUUAUAAAAAUGAUUAAUUGAAUCAAAUAAAUUUAAUGAUAUAUAAAAACGAAAAUAUUGAGAUAUAUCGUAUCGAAAGAAACGGAUACGAUAUAUAUCUAUUUGAAAAAUAUUGAUAAUCUCAUAUUUAUAGAGGAUACAAGCAAAAAAUCAAUCUUAGAUAGAAAAAAAAAACUUGAAAUUUUUUAUAUAUUAGAGAAUUGAUAUUAUAUAUUAUAAGAUAAGAUGUGUAUAUAAUAUAAUAUUUUAAAGUAUUAUAUGAAAAGAGAUAUGUCAUAUCAUAUUUAUAUUUAAAUUUUAAAAUAAAUAAAUAUUUAUUUGAAAUAAAAAUUACACUACACUUUAAUAUUUUUUAUUAAAAAAAAAAAGAAUCUUUCACAUGUUCAAUAGUAUUAAAAAAGAAUUCAAUCACUAUAAUUUUUAUUUUUUACUAACAAUAUUUAUUAUUAAAAUAUUUAAAAUGUAUAAAUAAAAAAUAUUAUAUUAUAUUCUUAAAAUAUAUAAAACAAUUAGCAUAUACUAAAUAAUACAUUUUAUUAUUUUUUAUUACAAAUUAAAUUUUUUAUCUAAAAUUUAUUGAUUUAUAAAAUGAAUAAAAUAGAAAAUUAAAAGAUAAAAUAAAGAAUAUAUAUAAUAUACUAACUGAGGUUUGAAUUACUGUUUACUCUAGAUGGCGGAUUAAUGUGAACAACCAAACAUGACCUUCCUAAUUUUGUUGGAUGGUGGAUUAAUGUGACCGGUGUAGGGACCCCUCUCCCUGAUAACACGUGGUACACAUCUCCUGAUAACACAUGACACACAUCUCCUGAUGACGCAUGACACACAUUCUCAUCCGGAUCAACCUCAUCCGGAUUUCCCUAAGAGUAUACGUGGCGCGCCUCUCCUAUCCGGACUCCCUCAAGGAGAGGCACACGACACUCACAAGCAUAACAUUCGGACGACUGCCACAACGCAUCCGAACGACCGACAUACACUAUCCGGGUAUGUUUGUCCGGAUCAUUGACUAAAGUAAGCAAGUCUUACACGUUAUCACAACAGUCUGCCAUGACCCACGUUCCAUCACCUGCAGAGUGAAAAGAUAAGAAUGAAGUGACGACAAGUCAUUUCCUACGAUCACUUCCCACGAUCACCUACCACGACUUCUGACAGUCGCAACACCUACCACGAUCUCUGGCAACCGCCUGUAGGGUGAUGAUGACCUUGCCACCACCUAGUGUCAUCAUGACAACACAAAAUAUCUCCCUGCCAUUAAAGAGAGAAACAAAGCUUCUGAUACUAUAUAUAUGAACCUUCACACAAAGAGGAAGGUAAGCUUGCUAUACCUAGUAAAAGGCCAACUGAUUUAUCUCUAUCUCUCUAACCAUGGCUGACAAAACCAUCGGAGGGUGCGUCCGGACACCCUGUCCGGACGCCUUUUGCAGGUAAUACGAUUGAAUCAAGAAUCUAUAUUAGUUGAGAUCGUGCGUCCACCCAUUUGGCAACUACGUGGAUCACCAGGGACGCGAGGCCUCAACAUUGGCGCCGUCUGUGGGAGCAUAUCACUGAUUCAGUCACCAGCAAAGAUGACCACACCUUCCCAAAGUCGUUCAUCUGGUAGGGAACAGGAAGAUAAUUCUGAAUGGCGCCGAGCCAUCGAAAGAAGACAGUUGGCAAGCGAGCGACAAUUGAAAGCUCUCUUCCAGGAGACAGAAAGAUUAAGAGAAGAAAACGCAGUACUAUGCAUCCAGGCUUCAACAUCAGGGCCUCCCCGUCUGCAACGUUCGAGAGGCCAGGUAGCAAACUCAAGGUCAGAACCAGAGUCAAUAUAUCCUGGGACAGCGGGAGCUAUCCCAGAAACGUACAACGUGAGGCCACAUGAGCCAUACACGCCCAUGCCUCGAGCUCCCCGUGAGGAAAGCUCGGACUCCACUCAUUUUUCAACAAAAAGGCAACGCGACAGAAAAUCUCAGUUGUCAAAUUCAAUACGUGCAAGACUAGGCCCACAAGAGCCUGGGAGACCAAGAUCACCAGCAGCCACAACCUGGGCAGCACGCCCUGACCAUGUGGUCACCCCCAUGGUGCAGAACGUGCUCCCGCACCGUGACCCUAUGGUCACCCUCAUGGUGCGGAACGUUCACUCGCAUCUAGCGGCGCGACAAGAUGGGAGAAACCUCCCAAACGAGCCACCCAUUGGCUCCAUCAGCAAAAGGCUGGACGACAUGCUCUUCACGCCUUUCUACUCUCACAUCAUUCAUUAUGAGCCCCCAAGGGGAUUCCUCGUACCAAAAUUCUCCACAUACGAUGGGUCCAGCGACCCCUUCGACCAUAUCAUGCAUUAUCGACAGCUCAUGACGCUCGAUAUUGGCAACGACGCGCUGCUGUGCAAAGUAUUCCCCGCCAGUCUACAAGGGCAGACCCUUUCAUGGUUUCAUCGUCUACCUCCCAAUUCUGUUGGCAAUUUCAGGGACCUAUCCGAAGCUUUCGUGGGACAAUACUUGUGCUCCGCUCGACACAAGCAGAACAUCAGCACUCUGCAAAACAUAAAAAUACAGGAUAACGAAUCCUUAAGGGAGUUCGUGAAGUGGUUUGGUCAAGCCGUGCUUCAAGUAGAGGCUUGCAGUAUGGAUGCUGUCCUACAGAUCUUCAAAUGAAGCAUCUGUCCAGGCACACCAUUUUUCGAAUCACUAGCUAAAAAGUCUCCUACAACGAUGGACGACUUGUUCAGACGUGCAAACAAAUACUCAAUGCUCAAAGAUGACGUACGAGCAGCCACCCAGCAAGUCCUAGUUGCUGGGCAAGCAUCUAGAAGUGGCACGGAAAGAAGUGCCAAACCUCCGGACCAGCCGAGGCCGUCAGAUCGAAGACAGGAGGGACCAAGUCGCCUGGAAAGGCCACCCCUCAUGCCACUUUCCAUAUCAUAUGAAAAACUUCUUCCUAUGAUCCAAGGUUUGUCCGACUUCAGGUGGCCUAUACCCCUCAGAACGGACCCAACCAAAAGAGAUCAUAGCAAGAAAUGUGUCUUCCACAAGGAGCAUGGUCACACAACGGAAGAAUGCAGGUGCCUCCAUUAUUUGGUCGAAAGGCUCAUAAGGGCGGGACACUUAAAGCAAUACCUCCGCUCAGAAGCCGGAGGUAGAGACGCUUCCCAAAAUCACAACUCUGGAGCCCCCAGGGCCUUGGCCGCCCCCAAGGCCGUUAUAAACUACAUUAACGGAGGCCCAUCUGACGAGGAGUAUGACUCUAAACGAAAGAGACAAAAGUUGUUAAGAGCUGCAUCAGUGUGUGAGCGUAUCAACUCCAUCCGGCCUGGACUAACUGGAGAGGGCCCUCGCCCCAUAGAUAGGAUAAUCAUUUUCCCACCAGUAGACCCCAACCAUAGAGAAAUAAGCAGGAAACAUCUUGCUUUGCAAAUUACCGAAUGCCUCGGAAGAUUCCCGAGUCAUCAUUAUACUUCUCAAUCAUUACAAUUAAAAAAAAAUUACAGUAACUAUCCAGUACCUCCUUUUGGUCGCCAAUAAAAUUUGGGAAAAAAUAACCUACAUUUUCUCAGCGACCAAACAGAGCACAACAGGCAAAAUCGGGUCAUAAAGAAUUAUUACUUGAACAUUAUGAUGACGCCAAUGAAGGUGACCUAGAGAGAUGCGCCCCAAGCGAUGGCGAAGCAGAGGAGGUGAAAGAGUUUGAGGGCAGCGGUUAUCUUUGACGAAUGGAUACCGUUCGAUUCGGAUCCGAAUGUCUCCGGCAAUAAUAUAACUCCGAUUGCCAAGAAACUGAGG
rnacentral:lncRNA from 1 species